GGAAAAACUAGGUUACCUAGUAUCAUUUGUUCAUUCUCACAAAAUAUUUUGAGAGAGGUAGAGAGAGAAAGAGCUAGAGAGAGGGUUUUGAAGAGGGAAGAACUUGAAGAGCAAAAAGAGGGUAGAGACUCAAGGGAUUGGAGUUAAAGUGAAGCACUAGCUUAGAUUUGUGAAGAUUUAAGAAACAUGACUAACUACAUAGUUGGGAAUAAGUUCAAGACGUUGAGAACACUCUUCAGACAAUUGUUAUUGUAUCUUACUAUCAUCCAAAGAUUACAGGAUAAGAGUCAAACAAGUGUGAUUGGUGAUUGAGCUUAGAGUUGCUGAGUUUGCUGUCGUGAGUGGCCUAUCCUCACUGAGUCUUAGGUUGCUCUGAUACGUAACGGGAGGGAACCUUUUUGCUUGUUUUCUCUUCCUUUGUGUAUAUGCUAUGCUUUUAUGUCAUUUGACUGAGUAUAUUUAUGAGGUCUGCGUGCCAAGACUUUAUGAUGAUUUGAAUUUAAUUCCGCUGCUGUUUUGUUGAUGAAAGAUAAAUUAUUAUAUAUUUACCUAUGAUUUAAGAUUUUUAAGAAUGUGAUAUCCCGUUAUUUGAUGA